CCGGCGACCGGCGCACGGGUGAGUAACACGUAUGCAACCUGCCCGUGGCAGGGGGAUAAGCGGGGGAAACCCCGUCUAAUACCGCGUAACGCGGCCUAGGGACAUCCCAAGGCCGCCAAAGGGAGCAAUCCCGGCCACGGAUGGGCAUGCGGCGCAUUAGCUAGUCGGCGGGGUAACGGCCCACCGAGGCGACGAUGCGUAGGGGUUCUGAGAGGAAGGCCCCCCACACUGGUACUGAGACACGGACCAGACUCCUACGGGAGGCAGCAG
rnacentral:rRNA from 1 species